AGUCGAACGGGUAACAGGAAGCAGCUUGCUGCUUCGCUGACGAGUGGCGGACGGGUGAGUAAUGUCUGGGAAACUGCCUGAUGGAGGGGGAUAACUACUGGAAACGGUAGCUAAUACCGCAUAACGUCGCAAGACCAAAGAGGGGGACCUUCGGGCCUCUUGCCAUCGGAUGUGCCCAGAUGGGAUUAGCUAGUAGGUGGGGUAACGGCUCACCUAGGCGACGAUCCCUAGCUGGUCUGAGAGGAUGACCAGCCACACUGGAACUGAGACACGGUCCAGACUCCUACGGGAGGCAGCAGUGGGGAAUAUUGCACAAUGGGCGCAAGCCUGAUGCAGCCAUGCCGCGUGUAUGAAGAAGGCCUUCGGGUUGUAAAGUACUUUCAGCGGGGAGGAAGGCGAUAAGGUUAAUAACCUUGUCGAUUGACGUUACCCGCAGAAGAAGCACCGGCUAACUCCGUGCCAGCAGCCGCGGUAAUACGGAGGGUGCAAGCGUUAAUCGGAAUUACUGGGCGUAAAGCGCACGCAGGCGGUCUGUCAAGUCGGAUGUGAAAUCCCCGGGCUCAACCUGGGAACUGCAUUCGAAACUGGCAGGCUAGAGUC
rnacentral:rRNA from 1 species